rnacentral:rRNA from 1 species
GAUGAACGCUGGCGGCGUGCCUAAUACAUGCAAGUCGAACGAAUCUUCUUCGGAAGAUGAGUGGCGAACGGGUGAGUAAUACAUAGGUAACCUGCCCCUGUGCGGGGGAUAACAGGAGGAAACUCCUGCUAAUACCGCAUAGCCAUGAGCACCGCAUGGAGCUCAUGCCAAAUAUCCUUUACGGGAUAGCGCAGGGAUGGACCUAUGGCGCAUUAGCUAGUUGGCGGGGCAACGGCCCACCAAGGCAACGAUGCGUAGCCGGCCUGAGAGGGCGGACGGCCACAUUGGGACUGAGACACGGCCCAGACUCCUACGGGAGGCAGCAGUAGGGAAUUUUCGGCAAUGGGGGAAACCCUGACCGAGCAACGCCGCGUGAGCGAAGAAGGCCUUCGGGUCGUAAAGCUCUGUUGUAAAGGAAGAACGUCGGACACAGGAAAUGGUGUGCGAGUGACGGUACUUUACCAGAAAGCCACGGCUAACUACGUGCCAGCAGCCGCGGUAAUACGUAGGUGGCGAGCGUUAUCCGGAAUCAUUGGGCGUAAAGAGGGAGCAGGCGGCCGCAAGGGUCUGUGGUGAAAGACCGAAGCUAAACUUCGGUGAGCCAUGGAAACCGGGCGGCUAGAGUGCGGAAGAGGAUCGUGGAAUUCCAUGUGUAGCGGUGAAAUGCGUAGAUAUAUGGAGGAACACCAGUGGCGAAGGCGACGGUCUGGGCCGCAACUGACGCUCAUUCCCGAAAGCGUGGGGAGCAAAUAGGAUUAGAUACCCUAGUAGUCCACGCCGUAA